rnacentral:rRNA from 1 species
CCUACGGGAGGCAGCAGUGGGGAAUUUUGGACAAUGGGCGAAAGCCUGAUCCAGCAAUGCCGCGUGUGGGAAGAAGGCCUUCGGGUUGUAAACCGCUUUUGUACGGAACGAAACGGUCUGCUUUAAUACAGCGGGCUAAUGACGGUACCGUAAGAAUAAGCACCGGCUAACUACGUGCCAGCAGCCGCGGUAAUACGUAGGGUGCGAGCGUUAAUCGGAAUUACUGGGCGUAAAGCGUGCGCAGGCGGUUAUAUAAGACAGUUGUGAAAUCCCCGGGCUCAACCUGGGAAUUGCAUCUGUGACUGUAUAGCUAGAGUACGGUAGAGGGGGAUGGAAUUCCGCGUGUAGCAGUGAAAUGCGUAGAUAUGCGGAGGAACACCGAUGGCGAAGGCAAUCCCCUGGACCUGUACUGACGCUCAUGCACGAAAGCGUGGGGAGCAAACAGGAUUAGAUACCCUGGUAGUCCACGCCCUAAACGAUGUCAACUGGUUGUUGGGUGCAUUAGUACUCAGUAACGAAGCUAACGCGUGAAGUUGACCGCCUGGGGAGUACGGCCGCAAGGUUGAAACUCGAAAUGAAUUGACGG